AACGAACGCUGGCGGCAUGCUUAACACAUGCAAGUCGAACGAAGCCCCGGAGCUUGCUCCGGGAUCCUUAGUGGCGGACGGGUGAGUAACGCGUGGGAACCUGCCCAGGAGUGGGGAAUAACUAUUGGAAACGAUAGCUAAUACCGCAUAUUUCCUGAGGGAGAAAGGCUUCGGCCGCUUUUGGAUGGUCCCGCGUCUGAUUAGCUUGUUGGUAAGGUAACGGCUUACCAAGGCGACGAUCAGUAGCUGGUCUGAGAGGAUGAUCAGCCACACUGGGACUGAGACACGGCCCAG
rnacentral:rRNA from 1 species